AUAAUGUUUCUUGCUCAAAUGAGUAUUCCAACUGCUAGUAUACUACAGAUGAUGGCUCUUCUUCACUGAUGCUGCUAGCUGUUGUUGCUGUUACUGCAGUUGAGAUGCUCAUUUGAGCAAGUAAUGUUAA
rfam:Macleaya cordata isolate BLH2017 scaffold1101, whole genome shotgun sequence.